rnacentral:rRNA from 1 species
GACGAACGCUGGCGGCGUGCCUAAUACAUGCAAGUCGAACGCAGUGGGGACGGGUGAGUAACACGUGGGUAACCUCCCAUCAGAGGGGAUAACACUUGGAAACAGGUGCUAAACCGAUACUGAUGGAUGGACCCGCGGUGCAUUAGCUAGUUGGUGAGGUAACGGCUCACCAAGGCCACGAUGCAUAGCCGGCCUGAGAGGUGGAGCGGCCACAUUGAGACUUAGACACGGCCCAUACGCCGACGGGAGGCAGAAGUAGGGAAGCUUCGGCAAUGGACGAAAGUCUGACCGAGCAACGCCGCGUGAGUGAAGAAGGUUUUCGGAUCGUAAAACUCUGUUGUUAGAGAAGCGGUAUCUAACCAGAAAGCCACGGCUAACUACGUGCCAGCAGCCGCGGUAAUUC